CCUACGGGUGGCAGCAGUCGAGAAUCAUUCACCAUGGGGGAAACCCUGAUGGUGCGACGCCGCGUGGGGGAAUGAAGGUCUUCGGAUUGUAAACCCCUUUCAUGUGGGAGCAAAUUAAGAAGAUAGUACAACAAGAGGAAGAGACGGCUAACUCUGUGCCAGCGGCCGCGGUAAUACAGAGGUCUCAAGCGUUGUUCGGAAUCACUGGGCGUAAAGCGUGCGUAGGCUGUUUCGUAAGUCGUGUGUGAAAGGCGCGGGCUCAACCCGCGGACGGCACAUGAUACUGAGAGACUAGAGUAAAGGAGAGGUAAGCGGAAUUCGCGGUGUAGCAGUGAAAUGCGUAGAUAUCGAGAGGAACACUCGUGGCGAAGGCGGGUUCCUGGACAGUAACUGACGCUGAGGCACGAAGGCGAGGGGAGCGAAAGGGAUUAGAUACCCGUGUAGUC
rnacentral:rRNA from 1 species